ensembl:lncRNA
GAAAGUUGUUUUUUUAACGACAAGAUAUACAAAGAGAACAAAGAGGAUGUUGGGUAAUAAUUAGAAUAUAUAUUAAACAUAUUAAUCAUACCCUCUAAACUAUAAAAACAUUUUCAUAUUCAUAUUAAAUAAUAAUUAUUUGCUAUUUAAGCCGAUAUGUCACAAAACGUAAACUAAAUACUUUCAUUGAAGUAAAGGAAAGAAAGCAAAAAAAGAAAUGGUGACAGGAAACGGAGGAGAUGAAGGACAGUGUGUGUGUGUGUGUGUGUGUGUGUGUGUGUGUGUGUGUGUGUGUGUGUGAGUGUGAGUGUCGGAAAUCAAAGAUGGAGUCCGUCAGCGUGCCUCCGAGUCAAAAUAAGACUCUGUCAAGUCGGCACAACCCUGAUCAGAGGAAACUCGUCGUUAGCUUGUCACUACCACGGUGUGUCAGAGCCCACCGACCUCCGGGCCCCCCGACACACACACAACACACACACACACACACACACACGCUUCACCGCUUAUAAUUUCCAUUUCAUCUGCAUCUUCCGAUCCACUUAAUGCUACGUGAGUCGACAGGUGGAUCGGACAGGCGGCCUUGUCAAGUGGAAUUUUGUCACACUGACACCCAGAUUUCAUCGCUGGUUUCUGGGUUUCUCCCCCCUCCUCCCUCCUUCCCUCCCUCCCUCCCUCUCUCCUCCCUCCCUCUCUCCUCCAGUCCAAACAGACUUCGGGCUUCUCCUGCGAACCUCGUGUGCAUUGCAAUGUGUGCAGAAAGCCUCAAAACCUCAAACUGCUGAGAACCGACAAAGUGUGUGUCUCUUUCUGUGUGUGUCUCUUUCUGUGGUGUUGUGUGUGUGUGUCUGCUGUUUUUUUUAACAAGAUAUUUUAGUGCUGAAACCCGCAAUGAAACAACCUCUUGUUUAUUAGUUCAGGUUGAAAGGAGGGAAAGUUUUUCAGGUCCGUCUCUGAACGACGCUGACAUUUGUCUUGAUGAACCACUUUCGUGAGUCCCAAGAGAAUUACCCACAAUUCAUUGCGCUGGCGGGAUGAACACGGCGUUGCAAGACGAGGCCAAAGAAACAAAGAGGCCGACUUUCUGUUCGGUUUUAUCUUGUACAACUUGAGUUAUUAAUUCUUAAUCAGAUGCUUGUUAAUCACUUUAACACAUUACAGGUCAUUUAGCUGACGCUUUUAUCCAAAGCGACUUACAUUGCAUUUUUAACACACAGCUUUUUACAUUUAUGCCCACACACACAUCCAUGUACACACAUUCAUCAAAGCUGUGAGACGAAGUUCGUGAUUGGCUGGGGCGCGUGUGGGGGGCGGGACCUUCAAGCCGCCCUCUCGUUACCAUUAGAGAACGUGUCACGUAGUCGUGACCUCGGGCAUUUGGAAUCGAUGAUGAGGAAGAUGUUGCAGGCUUCCACGUAUCUAUUAAGUAACGAAUGUAACCAUUUCUUCUGGACGCAGAUUUCACUUUGCAGAAGCUUCCGUCUCGCUGUGUUGUGUCCGAGCAGGAAACCCGAUAAGCUGUUUAAACCCGAAGCUCAACAUCUCACCAUCACUUGUUUGAAUAACGGGAUUGAAUUGGAGAGGAGCUUUGGAAAAAAAACCUGCAAACCUGGAAGAAUCGUUGAAGGUCUUCAGAGACGAGGUCCCUAGAUUUGCGUUUGGUGAACUGCGCUGAUGAGAGCGAGCAAAAAAUAACACCUGGUUUAGAGGAGACUAAUUGGAAUUGGCUUAGGGGCUCAUAGAGUUUAGUGAUAUUAAUUAGUUCUGUAUAUAUUCAAAGAAUUUGUCUGGUCACAUGAUCAAAUAGAGACAUAACAUUGGACAACAUCCAUAUACAUGCAUAUAUAUAUAUGCAUAUAUGCAUGUAUAUGGAUGUUGUAUAUAUAUAUAUAUA